rnacentral:rRNA from 1 species
GACGAACGCUGGCGGCGUGCUUAACACAUGCAAGUCGAACGGAAGGGCCCUGCUUUUGUGGGGUGCUCGAGUGGCGAACGGGUGAGUAACACGUGAGUAACCUGCCCUUGACUUUGGGAUAACUUCAGGAAACUGGGGCUAAUACCGGAUAGGAGCUCCUGCUGCAUGGUGGGGGUUGGAAAGUUUCGGUGGUUGGGGAUGGACUCGCGGCUUAUCAGCUUGUUGGUGGGGUAGUGGCUUACCAAGGCUUUGACGGGUAGCCGGCCUGAGAGGGUGGCCGGCCACAUUGGGACUGAGAUACGGCGCAGACUCCUACGGGAGGCAGCAGUGGAGAGUAUUGCACAGUGGGCGGGAGCGUGAUGCAGCGACGCCGCGUGCGGGAUGACGGCCUUCGGGUUGUAAACCGCUUUCGCCUGUGACGAAGCGUGAGUGACGGUAAUGGGUAAAGAAGCACCGGCUAACUACGUG